rnacentral:lncRNA from 1 species
ACUCCAUGCAGGGCAGGUGCAGUCAGCUCUGACGAGACUGAACCGACAUUUCAGCAUCGCACAGGGUCUUCUAUUAGACAGAUGGCUACUUCACUUCUGGUCGGUUCUUCGCCAAUAGAUAUCAUCACACAGCAUUCAAGUGAAUC